rnacentral:siRNA from 1 species
CAUGUGUCGAUAUUAAUACGA